AAUACUGACUGUCAGUAUAAGCAAUUAUACAGCGAAACUGCGAAUGGCUCAUUAAAUCAGUUAUCGUUUAUUUGAUAGUACCUUACUACUUGGAUAACCGUGGUAAUUCUAGAGCUAAUACAUGCUAAAAAUCCCGACUCACGAAGGGAUGUAUUUAUUAGAUUAAAAACCAAUGCCCUUCGGGGCUCUUUGGUGAUUCAUAAUAACUUUUCGAAUCGCAUGGCCUUGCGCCGGCGAUGGUUCAUUCAAAUUUCUGCCCUAUCAACUUUCGAUGGCAGGGUCUUGGCCUGCCAUGGUUACAACGGGUAACGGAGGGUUAGGGCUCGACCCCGGAGAAGGAGCCUGAGAAACGGCUACUACAUCCAAGGAAGGCAGCAGGCGCGCAAAUUACCCAAUCCCGAUUCGGGGAGGUAGUGACAAUAAAUACUGAUACAGGGCUCUUUUGGGUCUUGUAAUUGGAAUGAGUACAAUUUAAAUCCCUUAACGAGGAACAAUUGGAGGGCAAGUCUGGUGCCAGCAGCCGCGGUAAUUCCAGCUCCAAUAGCGUAUAUUAAAGUUGUUGCAGUUAAAAAGCUCGUAGUUGAACCUUGGGCCUGGCUGGCCGGUCCGCCUCACCGCGUGCACUGGUUCGGCCGGGCCUUUCCCUCUGGGGAACCCUAUGGUCUUCACUGAUCGUAGCGGGGAACCAGGACUUUUACUGUGAAAAAAUUAGAGUGUUCAAAGCAGGCCUAUGCUCGAAUACAUUAGCAUGGAAUAAUAAAAUAGGACGUGUGGUUCUAUUUUGUUGGUUUCUAGGACCGCCGUAAUGAUUAAUAGGGACAGUCGGGGGCAUCAGUAUUCAAUUGUCAGAGGUGAAAUUCUUGGAUUUAUUGAAGACUAACUACUGCGAAAGCAUUUGCCAAGGAUGUUUUCAUUAAUCAGGAACGAAAGUUAGGGGAUCGAAGACGAUCAGAUACCGUCGUAGUCUUAACCAUAAACUAUGCCGACUAGGGAUCGGACGGUGUUAUUUUUUGACCCGUUCGGCACCUUACAAGAAAUCAAAGUCUUUGGGUCUGGGGAUAGUCCCAGG
rnacentral:rRNA from 1 species